rnacentral:rRNA from 1 species
GAUGAACGCUGGCGGCGUGCCUAAUACAUGCAAGUCGAGCGAACAGAUAAGGAGCUUGCUCCUUUGACGUUAGCGGCGGACGGGUGAGUAACACGUGGGUAACCUACCUAUAAGACUGGGAUAACUUCGGGAAACCGGAGCUAAUACCGGAUAACAUUUGGAACCGCAUGGUUCUAAAGUGAAAGAUGGUUUUGCUAUCACUUAUAGAUGGACCCGCGCCGUAUUAGCUAGUUGGUAAGGUAACGGCUUACCAAGGCAACGAUACGUAGCCGACCUGAGAGGGUGGUCAGCCGCACUGGAACUGAGACACGGUCCAGACUCCUACGGGAGGCAGCAGUAGGGAAUCUUCCGCAAGAGGCGAAAGCCUGACGGCGCAACGCCGCGUGAGGGAUGAGGGGUUUCGGCUCGUAAAACUCGGUUAUUAGGGAAGAAAAAAUGUGUAAGUAACAGUGCACGUCUUGACGGUACCUAAUCAAAAAGCCACGGCUAACUACGUGC